CCCCUUCACUCAAUUCCUUUUUAAAGCUGUUUUCUGACUGGAAAAGGGCUGGGGACGGGCUUUUUUAGCUGGCUGUGAUUCGCAUCCAGGUUGCCCCAGCCCUUUUUGUCUGGGAGGCUGUUCCUGAGGUCAAUGCAGUGCUGGAAAGCACCUAAUGGUGGUGACUAAGAUGAGAAAUGGGAAGAAAUAUGUCUGAAGAAUUGAGGCAACAUGAGGACAGCCAGCCACUGUAGCUGCAAACAUCACUUUAACUCCUGCAGCUGCUACAUGAAGGAUCAGACAAAGGCUUGCAAGCGGGUUAUCUCCUACCCUGAUGACAACUGAAUGGUUGCAUGUUACUGCUCACUUCAUCAUUUGGAAGCAUUCAGUACGUUCCUGUGCGAUCUCUGACAGCCUAGCAGGUCAUCUUAAUCGGUUUCUGUCACGGAGUUCUCAGACAGGACUGUCUAUCGACUUUGGCAAGCUGAGGGUUGUGUCUUGGACCUCUGAAGUCUGUCUGGUUUGAGCCAGUGGCAAUUCUCAAUGGAUUCCUCCAGCUUCUUCUUGCAAGUUGGUCUCUUUGUAUGUCUACAGUGUCAGGCGGAAAUCCCAAUGGCCCCAGAGAAGAUAUUAGAGCCCUGAGCUGCUUCUCCCAGGUGUGGCUUGUGCCAUGGCUUGAAAAGGACUGCGGAUAAGGCUGACAAAGUCCACACCGAAGUGGAGCUUUCUUUAAAUGCCUCCAAAGCUUGGAAACCAAGGAUUGUCCUAAGGUUAGAGCCUAGAGUUCUUUCUUGUUUUUCCUUUGUGUUUUUGCAGUGUUUACCAGCUUAUCCUUUGUAUUUUGAGUCAUAGAAGUUCAACUCCUGGAAGUUUUGCUUAGCGCUUUCUGCAGACAGUAAGAAACCAAAGUGCAGAUUAAACUCCAAACAGUUAAUGGACGUUUCUAGAGGAGACGAUGAGAGAAAGGUGCAUUAUCUUCAUAAUGAAAAAAACAGGAAAAGCCCACUCAACAAUUACUUUUCAAGACAAACACUUAGGCAAUUUGCCAGAAAAACAUCAAAUGCUGUCUGUUGUCUGCAAUGUGCAUCUUGCAGCUUGUCCCUGUGACUGCUUGCAAACCUUCGAAUAAAACCUAGAAAAAGUUGUAUUUCAAGGAAUAGUCCUGGAAAGCUUUGAUUCAUUGCUUGUGUUCAGGAUUUGUGAGAUGUACUAUAAUUACAUAUGUUAUUACUCUUGCAAUAUUUUGUAUUACGUUACUGCAUGUUUAUAGACCAAAACUUUAUAGACAGAUAGAAAGCAGCCUGAGAAGGAGGGAAGACAUAAAUCAAAGUAUAAAACUGCCCUGAAUAAUAUUUUACGUUUCACUAUACUGACCUGGAAU